rnacentral:rRNA from 1 species
UAUAUGUAGAGUUUGAUCCUAGCUCAGGAUGAACGCUGGCGGCGUGGAUAAGGCAUGCAAGUCAAGGGGGCCCGCAAGGGCAACCGGCAAACGGGGUAGUAACAGGUGGGAACGUACCUAGAAGUCAGGAAUAACCUGUCGAAAGACAGGCUAAUACCUGAUAGUCUCCAAGGAGUAAAGCUCCGGCGCUUCUAGAACGGCCCGCCCGCUAUCAGCUAGUUGGUAAGGUAAUGGCUUACCAAGGCGUAGACGGCUAGGGGAGGUGAGAGCCUGACCCCCACCACUGGGACUGCGACACUGCCCAGACACCUACGGGUGGCUGCAGUCGAGAAUCUUCCGCAAUGCACGAAAGUGUGACGGAGCGACGCCGCGUGAUUGAUGAAGCUCUUCGGAGUGUAAAGAUCUUUUAUGAGGGAAGAAGUUUAUUGACGGUACCUCAUGAAUAAGGGGCUGCUAACCUCGUGCCAGCAGCAGCGGUAAUACGAGGGCCCCGAGCGUUAUCCGGAAUUAUUGGGCGUAAAGGGUGUGUAGGUGGUUGUAUUAGUCUUGUGUUAAAGCCUGUUGCCUAACAACAGAAUCGCACGGGAAACGGUACAACUAGGAGGGUGCAAGGGGUGUACGGAACUCAUGGUGUAGGGGUGAAAUCCGUUGAUAUCAUGGGGAACGCCAAAAGCGAAGGCAGUACACUGGUGCAUACCUGACACUGAAACACGAAAGCGUGGGUAGCGAAUGGGAUUAGAUACCCCAGUAGUCCACGCCCUAAACGAUGACAACUAGCUUUUCGGAGUAUCGACCCUCUGAGAGGCGAAGCUAACGCGUUAAGUUGUCCGCCUGGGUAGUACGACCGCAAGGUUAAAACUCAAAGGAAUAGACGGGGGCUCGCACAAGCGGUGGAUCAUGUGGUUUAAUUCGACGCUAAACGAAGAACCUCACCGAGGCUAGACAUCCAGACGAAUCUUAGAGGAAACUUUAAGAGCCUUCGGGCGGCUGGACAGGUGAUGCAUGGCUGUCGUCAGUUCGUGGCUUGAGCUGUUCCCUUAAGUGGGGUAACGAACGCAACCCCUAUUGUCUGUUAUACGUGUCAGACAAGACUGCCCAGCACCAAGUUCGCAAGAACUUGUAAGCACAAAGUACAAAGCACAAAUCUCAAAAAAGUUUUAAGAUUUUUAAUUUUAUAAUUCUUUUGGAUUUUGAACUUUGAAUUUUGGAUUUACAAACUUGUUAGUUUGGUGCUGGGAGGAAGGUGGGGAUGACGCCAAGUCAGCAUGUCCCUCUGAUGCCUCGGGCUACACACGUGAUACAAUGGGUGGUACAACGGGUCGCGCGGCGGUAACGCCAAGCCAAUCCUAAUAAAGCCAUCCUCAGUUCGGAUUGAGGUCUGCAACUCGACCUCAUGAAGUUGGAAUCGCUAGUAAUCGUGGGUCAGAAUACCACGGUGAAUACGUUCUCGAGCCUUGUACUCACCGCCCGCCAAGUCAAAGGAGUCGGGAGUACCCGAAGUUCCCAUUUAUUGGGGCCGAAGGUAAGUUCGAUGACUAGGGUUAAGGCGUAACAAGGCACGGCUAGCGGAAGCUGGUCGUGGAUUUAGUCAAAU